UUCAAUAUGGCAGAACAGUGCAAUGAAUUUAAGAUUCAUAUAUAAAGAUUUUUUCUUUUAUUGAAA
rnacentral:tRNA from 1 species